GAGGCCGCCCCGCAUCGUCUCGACUGCCUCCUGCCCUCGCCACUGUCUUCGUCCGUCGCCUGUCCGCCGUCCCCGCCCUCGCCACCACCUUCGGCCCUGUGCGUUGUCCCCGCCAUCGUCACCACCUUCAUUCGCUGCCGCCACCACCACCACCUUCCGCUCUGCUUGCUGUCCCCGUUGUCGGCAGUGCCACAAUCGAGGUGCGCGAACCGUAACUCCCAUCUGGAUCUAGGAGCUACCGCCAGGCCAGUCUGAACGACGUUGUUGGUGAAAUCGGUUGUGCGUUCGAAGAAGGAUCGAAGAGAGGAAUAAACAUGGGGUACACAUGCUUCUCGAUUGUCAGAUUCGUUGGUGGAUUGAAGAUGCAAAAGGACUGGUGGCGUAGAGCAGCGGAGACAGCGCCGGCUUCACACGGUGGCCGUGUUGCAGCGCCGAAUGCAGAUAGCACUCUCCUCUGAAGUUCUAAGCAUAUCAUAUAUACUUGUUGUGACAUGAAGGCAUGCUCAUUCAAGCAUUUGGUCGUUCCAGAAAUUGAGGCAGAACAUAGUAGAACUGAUGCUGUGUGGAAAAACUUGGUUGUAUGGUAAGAAAUGCAAGCAUGGAUUACUGAAAGAGAUUUCCAUCGCCGGACUGUACUCUUGCAUGGAAGCAAGUCCUUUUCUUUGUCUUCUCUCCUUGUUGUAUCAAAGAGCAGUCUCAUGUGUAGUGCUUCUUCCCUUUUGCAACUAUGUCUUAACUGUUAUCAUGGUGAAGCUUAUUUAUGUAAAUUCUUCAACUGAUUACCAGUCCUCAAAUGUAGGUAUGUGCUGUCAAAGCUCCUGAAUUUGGUGAUAAUAGAAGGGUUAAUCUGGAUGAUAUGGCUGUGUUGACUGGAGGAGAGUUUCAAGGUUGUUAGCGAGGAUUCUUUUCUUGGACGAUGAUGUUGUGGUACGGAGGGAUCUUGCGGGACUGUGGAAGAUUGACAUGGAAGGGAAGGUGAAUGGGGCAGUAGAAACAUGCUUUGGAUCAUUUCAUCGGUGUGCAUAUUUCAGAUUGUGGCAGGAUGCAUAGAAUCUGGUUGACCUGAUUAAGGAGCUCAACAGAUGAACUAGUCAUGCGGCAACUGUGUCGGCGGUUCGCGCGAUUCACUCCGUCGCUGCCCUCCUCUUCCUCGUCGAUUCAGCCACUGUCGCCAGUACGGAGGAGGAUCCCUUCAGGAGCCAUGUGAUUCUUCUUGCUAAAUUUGAAGCCUUUUAUUUCAUUCAUUUGGGCCGGUUCUCUGCUGCCCUCCACGCCUUCGAGUCACUCCCCUGCUCCCACCCUCUCUCUGCUGCUGCCUACGCCACACUCACGCCCUCGCUUGAAGGGAUGAAGCACUUCAAGUUAGAGAGUGGUGUGAUCCUGACCAAGCCGUUUCUCGAAGUGUGCAAGCACAUCCUCCCUAUGCUAGUGAAAUUUGGGUCAGCCAUGUCUAUUUUGAAAUCAGACUUUGGAGGUAAUAUUACGAGGUUAGAGAACAGAUAUACAUGUGAUCCUUCAAAGUACGAGCAUCUGCACAGCAUGAUGAAAGUAGAAGUUAGUGCAAAGACAGUCAAAAGUUCUAGCAGUUUUACCAUACGCAGCAUCCAUACUGAUAUGGGUAUCAGUAUUAGUCCGACACGGAUACCGGAUAUUCCGUUUUUCCAAAAAAUCUGAUAUAUGGUUAAGUUUACAUUUUAAAAAAAACAUAAAUAAGUUACUCACAUAUUCUACUUAAAUUCUAUUACAUAACAUACUUAAAAGUCUCAAUUUAGAACAUAUUAAAGGACAUAACAAAUUAACAACCCC